GCAGUGAUAGUUCAGUUGGGAGAGCGUCAGACUGAAGCCCAACCGUGGGUGGAUCAUCUGAAGGUCGUGUGUUCAAUCCGCACUCACUGCA